rnacentral:rRNA from 1 species
GACGAACGCUGGCGGCGUGCUUAACACAUGCAAGUCGAACGGAAAGGCCCUGCUUUUGUGGGGUGCUCGAGUGGCGAACGGGUGAGUAACACGUGAGUAACCUGCCCUUGACUUUGGGAUAACUUCAGGCAACUGGGGCUAAUACCGGAUAGGAGCUCCUGCUGCAUGGUGGGGGUUGGAAAGUUUCGGCGGUUGGGGAUGGACUCGCGGCUUAUCAGCUUGUUGGUGGGGUAGUGGCUUACCAAGGCUUUGACGGGUAGCCGGCCUGGGAGGGUGACCGGCCACAUUGGGACUGAGAUACGGCCCAGACUCCUACGGGAGGCAGCAGUGGGGAAUAUUGCACAAUGGGCGGAAGCCUGAUGCAGCAACGCCGCGUGCGGGAUGACGGCCUUCGGGUUGUAAACCGCUUUCGCCUGUGACGAAGCGUGAGUGACGGUAAUGGGUAAAGAAGCACCGGCUAACUACGUG